AGAAUCAACGCUGGCGGCGUGCCUAACACAUGCAAGUCGAACGAGAAAGUGGUAGCAAUACCAUGAGUAAAGUGGCGCACGGGUGAGUAGCACGUGACUAACCUACCCUUGAGUGGGGGAUAACUGAGGGAAACCUUAGCUAAUACCGCAUAAUACCCACGGGUCAAAGGAGCAAUUCGCUCGAGGAGGGGGUCGCGGCCGAUUAGUUAGUUGGCGGGGUAAUGGCCCACCAAGACGAUGAUCGGUAU
rnacentral:rRNA from 1 species